rnacentral:rRNA from 1 species
GACGAACGCUGGCGGCGUGCUUAACACAUGCAAGUCGAACGGAAAGGCCCUGCUUUUGUGGGGUGCUCGAGUGGCGAACGGGUGAGUAACACGUGAGUAACCUGCCCUUGACUUUGGGAUAACUUCAGGAAACUGGGGCUAAUACCGGAUAGGAGCUCCUGCUCCAUGGUGGGGGUUGGAAAGUUUCGGCGGUUGGGGAUGGACUCGCGGCUUAUCAGCUUGUUGGUGGGGUAGUGGCUUACCAAGGCUUUGACGGGUAGCCGGCCUGAGAGGGUGACCGGCCACAUUGGGACUGAGAUACGGCCCAGACUCCUACGGGAGGCAGCAGUGGGGAAUAUUGCACAAUGGGUGGAAGCCUGAUGCAGCAACGCCGUGUGCGGGAUGACGGCCUUCGGGUUGUAAACCGCUUUCGCUCAUGACGAAGCUUUGUGUGACGGUAGUGGGUAAAGAAGCACCGGCUAACUACGUG